CUGACCGGAGAGAGUUUUCCUCUUGUGAAGUUUGGAGAUCAUAUGACCAUCAAAGUGCCUCAAUAUCGCUCCCUAAAAUUUAAGGACCAGAACAGACAAAAGAUUUGUCACAUUAUCAGAAAGAUGUCUGAGCUGCUGACAGGAGAGGUUCCUAUAAGGUGUCAGGAUGUCACUGUCUAUUUCUCCAUG